GACGAACGCUGGCGGCGUGCCUAAUACAUGCAAGUGGAACGCUUGUUUAACACCGGAGCUUGCUCCACCGUUGAACAAGAGUCGCGAACGGGUGAGUAACGCGUGGGAAAUCUGCCUCUCAGCGGGGGACAACUACUAGAAAUGGUAGCUAAUACCGCAUAAGAGUUCAAGUCAAAUGAACAGAACUUAGAAGGUGCAAUUGCAUCACUGAGAGAUGAUCCCGCGUUGGAUUAGCUAGUUGGUAAGGUAACGGCUGACCAAGGCGAUGAUCCAUAGACGACCUGAGAGGGUAAUCGGCCACAUUGGGACUGAGACACGGCCCAAACUCCUACGGGAGGCAGCAGUAGGGAAUCUUCGGCAAUGGACGGAAGUCUGACCGAGCAACGCCGCGUGAGUGAAGAAGGUUUUCGGAUCGUAAAGCUCUGUUAUAAGAGACGAACGGGAGAGAGAGUGGAAAGUUCUCUUCGUGACGGUAUCUUAUCAGAAAGGGACGGCUAACUACGUGCCAGCCGCCGCGGUAACAC
rnacentral:rRNA from 1 species